GAACGGUAACAGGCCUUCGGGUGCUGACGAGUGGCGGACGGGUGAGUAAUGCGUAGGAAUCUGCCUAGUGAUGGGGGAUAACUUAGGGAAACUUAAGCUAAUACCGCAUACGCCCUACGGGGGAAAGCGGGGGAUCGUAAGACCUCGCGUCAUUAGAUGAGCCUACGUCAGAUUAGCUAGUUGGUGGGGUAAAGGCCUACCAAGGCGACGAUCUGUAACUGGUCUGAGAGGAUGAUCAGUCACACUGGAACUGAGACACGGUCCAGACUCCUACGGGAGGCAGCAGUGGGGAAUAUUGGACAAUGGGCGCAAGCCUGAUCCAGCAAUACCGCGUGUGUGAAGAAGGCCUUAGGGUUGUAAAGCACUUUCAAUUGGAAGGAAUACCUCAGAGCUAAUACCUUUGAGAUUGACAUUACCUUUAGAAGAAGCACCGGCUAACUCCGUGCCAGCAGCCGCGGUAAUACGGAGGGUGCGAGCGUUAAUCGGAAUUACUGGGCGUAAAGCGUGCGUAGGCGGUUGUUUAAGUCAGAUGUGAAAGCCCCGGGCUCAACCUGGGAACGGCAUUUGAUACUGAGCAACUGGAGUUUGGGAGAGGCAAGUGGAAUUUCAGGUGUAGCGGUGAAAUGCGUAGAUAUCUGAAGGAACACCAGUGGCGAAGGCGACUUGCUGGCCUAAAACUGACGCUGAGGCACGAAAGCAUGGGUAGCAAACAGGAUUAGCUACCC
rnacentral:rRNA from 1 species